rnacentral:lncRNA from 1 species
CCUCCCUGUGUGGGCGAACGGCGACGAAAGUGUGGGAGUGGAGGUGAGCUACAUCACUAUCUAUGGGUCAGAGAGCAGAGAUCCAUCCCACAUGUUUACUGUUCCUAUACAGCGCGGCCUUAAAGGAAUCAGACACAGGUGCAUGAUGGGACGAGUGCAGACACACCUUUCAGGCAGCUCAGGAAUGUGGAGAGAGAGAGAGAGAGAGAGAGAUCACAAAGGAAAUGAAAGCUGAGGGAACAGUUUGACAGUGUCUGUGUGGGAGGGUGAGACACAUGAAUAGGUGUGGAGGUUACACACACACACACACACAUGUAGUUUCAGUCCACAGCACUGCUUCCUGAUAAUAGGACGGACACACAAACACACACAGGAACUAAGGAGUGGAGGAAGGUCUACCUGCAUUUCGCCGACUGAACGUCUCAGUGAGGAUCUCACCUUCAUCAGAUCAGCUUCCAAUAUCUCCACAAAGUUAGAAAAGUCUCUGAUAUUUUCAUUCACAACUGAAGAUGAAACUUAUUUAAGCUAAAAUAUGUCUUUUUCUUUGCAAGAAGAAAAAGAAAGAAAGAAAGUCCCGGUUUAGUUUAGCAGCAGCCACCACGCCUUGUUUCCUCCUCUUCCUCAUAUCACUGGUUGACACACGUUAUCACAUCAAAGGAAAAGGUGUUUUGAUGAGGUCAACAUUUACUCACACAGUUUGUUUUCAGCCAAACUGAAACCAGUUCUUUCAAAAGAGAAAGAGAUGUUCAACCAUAACCAGGAGGAAAGCUUCCCCCUGCAGAACUUUGAUCCUCCUCAGACCAGAUUAGUGAUGGAGGACGUGGAGGAGAUCCCCCUGAGUACAGUACCAGGACAGGGCUGCAGCCCACCUCACAAAACCAGAAACGCCAUCGAGUCCUGCUGCAACGACCCGCAUCACCGCAGACUGGCCAUCAGCAGCAUCAUCUGUGGAAUCUCCUGCAUCGGAAUCAAAGCGCUCAUCGACUCCGUCAAGGCUGAGAGCGCCACAGACCCAGAGGCGGCCGACAGGUUUUCCCGCCGGGCGAGGAAACUGGGAAUCAUCUCCAUCGUGACGUGGGUCUCCAUCCUGGUGUCCAUUCCUCUGAUGCUGGCGUUGGUUUCCUACCUCAUGACUUUAGUCGACUGAUGGAGCAGAACUCUGGGUUCACACGUUACAAACCAACGAGGAGCCAAGCUGAUGAAGGUCGUGGAAGACGCACAAAAAGGACUUCUUCAGACUUUACCUCACAGCAGAACGUUGUUCUUCUUUCUUUAGUGAUGAUGUGGAGUUUCCAAACACAAGCCGAUACGGAUUAUUUUUAAUGGAUCAGAGACUUUUCCUCUGAACCAAUCACUUAUCAAAUCAUCUUAGCUUUUGUCAGAAGCCAGACACAAGAAAACAUGUUCACCAGUUGAGUCGUAACACUGUAACUUAUAUAUACGCCGAGUGUGAUCAAAGUACAGAAUUUCCUUCUCCAAAUGAUUCUGGAGAAAGACCAAGAGUUUCAGGAUGUCUAACAGUCAGUUGACGACCGUGUGCUUCGGAUCACGCCGUUCUUUCAGCGCGCAUGCACAGUACUCUGAUUGGCUCAGAACUGGACGAUAGAAACACAAAUAUUACAUAAAUAAUAUAGAUUUCUGACGACCAUACGAGGGUUUUCACAGCGGAACAAAGUGAUGUCGUCGUUUUCUCACGGAUUCGAAGAAGCUGGAAGUCACGUUGUCAUGGUAACAGAGCUGCUGUAUCAAGUACUUACUGUCCACUGGGAGUAAAUGUUUUGGUCUGGACAUUUAUGGCCAAAGAAGAAAAAGUCUGAUUCUUAAACGAGUCGAUGAGUUAAACUAUGUCAUUUCCUGUUGUAUUAUGUAGCUUUGCAGAAGUGACUUUUACGUUACAAUUUUUUGUUAUACACACACACGCGUGCGCACAAAAUGCAGCAGAGGCACAAAAAAGUGUUACAGAUUUGUGACAGUGUUUCUGCUUUAACUGGAAGUCCACUUUUGUGCAAACAAAUUAAUGGAUUGUUUAGUUCAUUGAAAUGACAGUUAUCAUAAUAAAGCAGUGUUUCCCCCUAAGGUUUACA